ensembl:lncRNA
CUGGGCCAGAAGCACUGGGAAAUCUCUGGCUGCAGUUUCCUACUCCAUCACUUCGAGGAUUUCAAGCUGAAGGAGAUUCAGACCGGAUAUAAGGAAGAAGUUUUUUUUUUACAAUAAGGGUAGUGAGGCUCUGGCACAGGUUGCUGUAUGGUAACUGCUGAGUCAUGGCCUGAACCACUGAUUGAGCACCUGGGAAAGGACCCAGUCAGCCCUGGGAGCACAGGUGAAGGCAAUUCAGCUGUGUGACAGGAAGGGUGGAGCCUGGCUGCACCUCUCUUAGACCUCAUUUAAGGGCUGAUGGCCACAGGGGAAGGACCUCUGGUUGGAGGUCCCUCCCUUGUGGAUUUCUCCUUGUGAGCCUAGAUCUUCAGAGACAGGGAGGUGGGAUCAGAUGGCCUUUAAGGGUUCCUUUCAGCUCAAAUGAUCAUCAGCAAGAUGGAGGUGAUACAGAAGGAAACUGCCUUUUGCCCCUUCUGAGGGUGCACUUACAAUCUGAGCUGACAAGCUACAGCUGGUGCAGAAAUACUCUGGAUCUUGCUGACUGGCCUCCCCUGACUCAGCAUUGGAACUAAGGGCAAGUUGAGUCAACUUUUUAAAAGAGCCAGAGCAAAGUGUGUGUCUUUUGUGGUCUGAAGUUGUAAGGAAGGAGAAACAUAUCUUGUAAUAGAGAUCUGCUUGGCUGUCCUGUGACAAUGAAUUUAAAAAGAAAGAUUGCUUGGUCCAAUCAAGCAAGAAAUCUUCUGCAUUUUCCCAGAAUGUUUUUUUCAUGACUUGGUUAGCCCUACAAUUAACCCCAGGCCAAGCAUCAGAAGCUCUGUUCACUAGAGGAGGAGGAACGUGGGAUAUUGCUUAUUUGAUUCUCAGAGAGAAAAAAGGCCAAGUGACAGAUGUGCUGAAAUGAGCAUCCUGCUUUUAGAUUUAAGGGAAUGAUGGUGCAAUGGGGUAGGCCUGAACCAGACCAUCAGAAGUUGCGGGCAAGUUAGAGGAAAACAACAAUGAAAAAAAGUUAGCAGAAAACUGUUUUCCAUCACAGAGGAUGUCAGAAAGAGGAAGAUGAAGGAUAAGUUUUGAAGCAGAAGUAGUUCUGUGUUGGAAGCAGGAACUAUCAGGCACAGCUUGCAGCAUCUGGUCCAUGCCUGUAUUUUAAUUGCAGCCAAUGGUAUUUUAAGCAGGUUGAUAUAGAUAUAAUCAAGACUGUGAUCUGGCAAUGUGCAUGUUUGCUGUAUGGAAGGCAAUCCAACUCUUGUGCUGUGUGUCAGGGGAAUAACUGGCUCCAUCAAGUAGAACAUCCUCCAAGAAUCAUUGCUGCUUUGACCUUCAUGGGUCAUUGCUCAUCAGUUAGGACUUAGUAAGGUUUUAAGAACAUGAGAAUUUUUAAGGUAACCUGCUUCUGAAAAGGCAGUAGCAACAAAAAAAGCCGAAGAUGUGCGAUUCUCUCUACAGCGCUGGAAAUGCAGAUUUCAGCUGGGGCAGCCUCUGGCAUGAGAUGUGCUAAACAGGGCCAAAGGGGAAACGGGUCAUGCUGUGUGAAAGGAAACACACAGUAGAAGCAAUGUAUACUGCACUUGAUUU